rnacentral:pre_miRNA from 1 species
CAUUAGCUAUUAUCAAAGUUUUCGUGCUCAACUUUGAUCGUUCGUCUUAUUUAUAAUUUUUUUAAAUUAGUAUUUUUCUUGUUAUGAGAUGAUAAAAUAUGAAUAGUAAUUUACUUAUGACUUAUGUUUUUAUUUUUUUAAAAAAAUAUUUAAAUAAGACAGACGAUCAAAAUUGGACGCGGAAAACUAUGACUGUACUUAAA